CGGUCCUGGCAUGUGUGAUCUGACUGGGUUGCGUUGGUGUGUGGUUGCAGGACAAGGUGGUGAACCUGUUGUUCGAGAAGAGGCCGAAGCAGUUCGACAUCGGUGGUGCCCUGCCGCCCAAGAAGGACCUCCACCGGUUUGUCAAGUGGCCCAAGGUCAUGCGCAUCCAGCGCCAGCGCCGCAUCCUCAAGCAGCAAGGAGCCCAACAACCUCUACAAUGUCCACUCCUACAAGUUCUCGAGCUUGGCGAAUAGCAAAACUGUGGCGGUCCAGCCAUCAGCGGGAGAGGACAAGGCAGUUGUCCUGUCCACGACCAAGACCAAGAAGCAGAACACCCCUGCCAAGCUCCAGCACAAGACUCUGAUGUGCAAGGAGUUCUGCAAGAUGGCCAAGUAUGUCAAGAAUCAGGAAAUGGACUGAUUCCUUUGAAAUUCCCAUGUUGUAAAUAGUCCCUUACUCCACUCAGGUGAUGACUUUGACCACAGAAGUACAACCAGGACAACCGUGCUGUUGGUGGUAGCUCCCAAGGUCCAAGGACAACUAUAUACUUUGACAGCAAAGAGCCAAGCAAGGGUGUGAACCAUAGUUUCGGUUGAUAUUUGCCACCAUGUUUUGGAUUGCACGUACACUUCUUGGAUAUAAACUAUAAUUAGGCUUGUUCAAGCUAUGUUACCGCGGACGUGCAGUCUUGUAUGUUUUUGUGAAUGUUGAUCAUAUGAGUUCUGGAUUUGAUCAUUUAAUAAGAGAAU